AUGGGCUCCACAAAGCUCAUCGCAGCGACUCUUCUCCCCGCCUUCCUCGCCCUCCAUCUACACGCCCCAGCAGCAAUGGCCACCGCGGCAGGAAGCUCCAACUCCAACCUCUUCCGUGACUACAUCGGCGCCCUCUACAACGGCGUCAGGUUCGCGGACGUGCCGGUCGACCCGCGCGCCCGGUUCGACUUCAUCCUCGCGUUCGUCAUCGACUACACCACCGCGACGGAGCCACCGUCCCCGACCAACGGCCGGUUCAACGUCUUCUGGCAGGACACGGUGCUCACCCCCGCCGCGGUCGCCGAGGUCAAGCGGCGGAACCCCAACGUGCGCGUGGCCGUCAGCCUCGGCGGCGCCACGGUCAACGGCAGGCCCGUGUUCUUCAACGUCACCUCCGGCGUUGACUCCUGGGUCCGCAACGCCGUCGACUCGCUGACCGGCAUCAUCCAGCGGUACGGCCUGGACGGCAUCGACAUCGACUACGAGCAGUUCCAGGUGGACCCGGGCACCUUCGCCGAGUGCGCCGGCCGUCUCGUGGCGGCGCUCAAGAGCAGCGGCGUCAUCAGGUUCGCGUCCAUCGCGCCGUACGGCAACGGCGACGUGCAGCGCUACUACCGGACGCUGUGGGCGGCGCACGGGGCCGCCAUAGACUACGUCAACUUCCAGUUCUACGCCUACGGCGCAAGCACCACCGCGGCGAAGUACGUCAGCCUCUUCGACGAGCAGAUCGCCAACUACCCUGGAGCCAACAUCCUGGCCAGCUUCACCACGGCGGCGACGAACACCUCGGUGCCGGUCGACACCGCGCUCAGUGCUUGCCGGACUCUGCAGGGGCAGGGCAAGCUCUACGGCAUCUUUGUCUGGGCUGCAGACCAUUCCAGGAACCAAGGAUUCAAGUAUGAGACACAGUCGCAGGCCCUGUUGACUGAUGCCACCACUUACUAG
rnacentral:rRNA from 1 species